UUAACCACAAAGAAAUCGCAUGGGGAAAGUCCUAUAGAAAAACUUGAAGAAAAAGAAGAUGAGCUUGAUCUGAGAAAGUUCUUUGAAAAAUGAUGAUUUACGGCCAUGAUAAUGACGAUUGAGAGUAGAUCUGGAAAAGAGGAGCUACUCGGUACAAAAAGGAAAAACUUUGCUAUUGUGGUAGCUGAAAUAAGAAAAUUGGGAUUCGAACAACGUGGAGACAUCUGACAAGCAGAGUGUACUCUGGUGAUUAAACCAAGGAAGAAGGCAAGUUUUUAUCCAAAAACCCCAAGCUACCACGAAAACUCACUUGAGCAUCAUUAGUUGUUCUACCGAAUCCUUGACCAAGCCAUCAGUCUCUGCUUCCAUCGAGACCGCCUUCAUUAUCCAACCAGGCCACUAUAGCUUCUGCAAUCGGCAACGCAGCUAUCCCAGUCAACCACAUAACUAGCCACAACUAAAGGUUUGCUCCAAGCUGCAAACUAUUUGUGUUAAAUUCUUGAAUUAGAAUCUUUGAAUUAAACUCCAUGAAAGGAGAAGAACAAAUACAAUGGAAUCCGAAUAAAUUUCAUGAAAGACAAUCCAUGAAAGGAGAAGGUAAACCUUCGUGAAAAGAGGGAUUGGAAUACAACAAUUCAAUGAUUUUUCAAUGCAUACAAUGACACUAUUUAUAGAGAAAAUGGUAGAGUAAUUAACUAACUUUCUAACUAAUCAACCAACUAACCUAGCAAACAAAUACUAACUAACAUCACAGCUGGAGAUAACUGGAGACAAAACGGUUUGGAUAAAGUUUUUGGAUUAUGGAAUGAGAUGGAAUCUGCAGUAACUAAAAGACUGCUAAUCUCAUAUUCUAACACACCCCUCUCAAGAUGGACUAUGGAGAUCCAUCUUGAAGAUUAAGGAAUGGAACACGGAUGCAAAACAGGUUUUAACAAAAGAAUGGCAUCUGUUUUGAAAAAUGCAAGUUAACUGCAGACAACUUCACUCUAGCCUCAAAACCAUUGGGGAACUUCUGCUUUCCUAACCUGCUUCGCUAGCCC
rnacentral:lncRNA from 1 species